UACGUAGGGUGCAAGCGUUGUCCGGAAUUAUUGGGCGUAAAGAGCUCGUAGGCGGUUUGUCGCGUCGGCUGUGAAAACUCGGGGCUCAACCCCGGAGCCUGCAGUCGAUACGGGCAGACUAGAGUGCUGUAGGGGAGACUGGAAUUCCUGGUGUAGCGGUGAAAUGCGCAGAUAUCAGGAGGAACACCGGUGGCGAAGGCGGGUCUCUGGGCCGAUAUUGACGCUGAGGAGCGAAAGCGUGGGGAGCGAACAGGA
rnacentral:rRNA from 1 species